rnacentral:rRNA from 1 species
CAUGGGGAAUCUUCCGCAAUGGGCGAAAGCCUGACGGAGCAAUACCGCGUGAGGGAGGAAGGCUCUUGGGUUGUAAACCUCUUUUCUCAGGGAAGAACACAAUGACGGUACCUGAGGAAUCAGCAUCGGCUAACUCCGUGCCAGCAGCCGCGGUAAUACGGAGGAUGCAAGCGUUAUCCGGAAUGAUUGGGCGUAAAGCGUCCGCAGGUGGCUGUGUAAGUCUGCUGUCAAAGAGCAAAGCUCAACUUUGUAAAGGCAGUGGAAACUACACGGCUAGAGUGCGUUCGGGGCAGAGGGAAUUCCUGGUGUAGCGGUGAAAUGCGUAGAGAUCAGGAAGAACACCGGUGGCGAAGGCGCUCUGCUAGGCCGCAACUGACACUGAGGGACGAAAGCUAGGGGAGCGAAUGGGAUUAGAUACCCCAGUAGUCCUAGCUGUAAACGAUGGAUACUAGGCGUGGCUUGUAUCGACCCGAGCCGUGCCGUAGCUAACGCGUUAAGUAUCCCGCCUGGGGAGUACGCACGCAAGUGUGAAACUCAAAGGAAUUGACGGGGGCCCGCACAAGCGGUGGAGUAUGUGGUUUAAUUCGAUGCAACGCGAAGAACCUUACCAAGGCUUGACAUGUCGCGAACUCUUCUGAAAGGAAGAGGUGCCUUCGGGAGCGCGAACACAGGUGGUGCAUGGCUGUCUCA